GCAAGAGUUGUCCGGAUUUAUUGGGCUUAAAGCGAGCGCAGGCGGCUUGGCAAGUCUGAUGUGAAAGGCUGGGGCUCAACCCCAGGACUGCAUUGGAAACUGUAAGGCUAGAGUGUCGGAGAGGUAAGCGGAAUUCCUAGUGUAGCGGUGAAAUGCGUAGAUAUUAGGAGGAACACCAGUGGCGAAGGCGGCUUACUGGACGACAACUGACGCUGAGGCUCGAAAGCGUGGGGAGCAAACAG
rnacentral:rRNA from 1 species